CCUGACCAGCCAUGCCGCGUGCAGGAAGACGGCCCUACGGGUUGUAAACUGCUUUUGUACCGGAAUAAACCUUGAUACGUGUAUCAAGCUGAAUGUACGGUAAGAAUAAGGAUCGGCUAACUCCGUGCCAGCAGCCGCGGUAAUACGGAGGAUCCGAGCGUUAUCCGGAUUUAUUGGGUUUAAAGGGUGCGUAGGCGGCUAUUUAAGUCAGGGGUGAAAGACGGCAGCUCAACUGUCGCAGUGCCUUUGAUACUGAAUAGCUUGAAUACACUUGAGGUAGGCGGAAUGUGACAAGUANCGGUGAAAUGCAUANAUAUGUCACAGAACACCAAUUGCNAAGGCAGCUUACUAAAGUGUGAUUGACGCUGAGGCACGAAAGCGUGGGGAUCAAACAGGAUUAGAUACCCUGGUAGUCCACGCCCUAAACGAUGAAUACUCNAUGUUGGCGAUAUACGGUCAGCGUCUAANCGAAAGCGUUAAGUAUUCCACCUGGGGAGUACGCCCGCAAGGGUGAAACUCANAGGAAUUGACGGGGGCCCGCACAAGCGGAGGAGCAUGUGGUUUAAUUCNAUGAUACGCGAGGAACCUUACCCGGGCUUGAA
rnacentral:rRNA from 1 species